rnacentral:tRNA from 1 species
GCCACUGUAGCUCAACGGCAGAGCAACCGCUUCGUAAGUGGUAGGUUGUAGGUUCGAAUCCCAUCAGUGGCU